ensembl:lncRNA
AAAUAAACCUAAGAUUAUUUUAGUGAGCCAUGAUGAAGGGACGCUUUCUCCCCUUCCAGUCUGGUUACCUAAAGGUUCAGAUAGUUGGGAUCAACUUUCUAUGGUUAUGAAAAUUAAACCUUCUUUAGAGGUUCAUUCACCACUAAAUUUUCAUUUGAAAAGCUUUUCAGCACUCUGCUGAGCACAGUAAUUACUAGCAGCAUAGUCUGAUGACAUAAUAUUUUAAUUAUUAGUCAGGACAGAACUUAGUGAAUAUAUGGAUUUACUAGUUCUAAAUAUUUUUUUUUAGUUCCGUCAUCUAUAUAGACCACAUAUAUCACUAUAGAUCACAUUAGUGAUAGUCCUGAUAAAAAUAACAGAAAAAAAAGUUGUAUCAGCACUUAAUUUUCUCUUUUAUAUUUUUUCUUUCAUCUUAAAUUUAUAAUUUUGCAUUACACAUAUAAAAAUCUUGAUGUCACGUGACAUAAUUUUUUGUUUAUAUGGCACUCUGCAGAUUGUUUCUGCAGCAAGACUGGCUAGAUACUCCUCGUACAAGUUGCGUAAUAAUCAUUUAAGAACUGAUGUCAACAUCUCAAAAAUAUUAUUGUGUCAGUUUACCACCAAGAAAAAUUAUAUACUUAGAGGCAAAGCACAAGCAAAACAAACAAAAAUAACCCUAAUAAAAAGGGGAAAGAGAAGAAACAAGGUAAGGUAGAGAAAGGUAAGAAGAGGAAGAGAUUCAGGAAACACAGAUAGUACUACUGGUCUUCUGUGAAAACAGUACUGUCAGCAAUUUCUUGCAUGUUGUAGCCAGAAAAAAAGAGUGGGAAUGAAUGUUUCUUCCCCCAGUUCUGCCCUAUGCUCUUAAUGAUAAUACAAACACCUACAAAGAAUGGGCACAAAUUGAUGUGUUUCGACUAUGUUUUGUGAUGUGUUUUUUCUCUCUUUCUGCAGAAAUACACUGUUUAUAUUUCUCAUUCCUCAGCAAUAAGCAAAGCUAGACUGACCAGCGGUAUCUAUGGUAGAGAUAGAUCAUCACUGGAGAAGAACAAACAUCUUUGACCUUAAGGAUAAAGCUGCCUUUGAUAUUUCAUUAUGAAAGAUUUGCUUAAAAUGUAAGAUGAGUGUGUUAUCAAACACUUUAAGAAGAAGGGACGCAUAUUUAUUUAACAGAUUUUUCAACUUGAAAAGGGAAAUGUAAAUUUCUUGAAAAAUAUGCAAAGUUGGGAACAAAGAUAACUUUAUAAGCAGCCCUGAAUUAUUUAUCUUCUCACAUAAGAGGCUACAAUUCUAAUUCCAAAGUAAAUGGUCUGACUUUACUGCAGUCGGGGCAGAUUUACAUCAGUUUAACUGAAAUAAGAUCCCUCCAUACGUGUUUAUCCCAGAAAAAUAAAGUCCUCUUUUUUGUGUUUACCUGUCAAAACAUUCAUCUGCGGGAAAGAUUGUGCUAUAAAACGGGUUAAGCAAACAGAUCUGAACUUCUCUAUCAGUUUUAUUGUACAUCAUAGCAAUUACUCUUGCUGUCAAGAAAUAUGAAGUUUGAUAUCCUCUGAGUUUAAAUGUGCCAGAUGUAGUUCUCCAAAAUGUAAUACAAGUUGCAAACUCUAAAAUACAGAACACAGGCUGGAAUUCUACAAGGGAUGCUCUGAAACUAAUGCCUCCUAUUUUAUUAUGUGUGCCUACAAUACCAGAGGUAGAUGGUGGUGGUAAGGCAAGGGAAGGUUUAACCUUUCCACCAAUAUUCCAUUCCUUUUUGUUGCCAUGUGACAGACGGCAGCAGAAGGGCAGUCUGACAGAAUAGCAUUUGACAUGGAAGUGCAUAUGAAGAAAAGAUGUGUCACUGAAUUGCAAAAUAAAACCCCCCAAAAUUGGACCCACUGAUGUUCACUGAUACUUGCUGAACAUUUAUAGAGAUCAGAUGGUGGAUGUGAGCAUAGUGAAGUGGUGGGUGGUGCAUUUAAGCAGUAUCAAUGGUGACAUGAAAGACAAGCCAUCUUAUGGAUGGCCAUUCAUAUCCUCUGCACCAUGAAAUUAAGAGCGUCUCAAUCAGCUAAUCUGCACAAUUUGGAAGAUUAUGGCCAUGGAACUGUCUACAGAGCUGAAUAUUGGCUUCAGUGCAUUGGAAACAAUGGCAGCAAUGUCACAAAGUUUGUACCAGGUGGAUCCCACAAGUUCUCAUGCAGGAACAGAAAGAACAUCAUAUGCAAAUUUGCUGUAUUGAACCCAUAUGAGUCUGAAGGUGACAGUAUUCUGGAUUGCAUGAUUACUGGUGAGGAUAUGUGGUGUUACCACUGUGAGCCACAGUCAAAAGAGCAGACCAUGGAGUGGUGAAAUUUGAAUUCCCCAUCAUAGAAAAGGCUCAAGAUGCAGAUGUUCACCGUCUUUGGAGAUGGGAAAAGGCUUAAUUUCCUGGAACCCACACAGACCAACAGCCCUGACAAAUACUUUGCAAUGCUGACUAAGCUGAAGGACUGAAGUUUCAGAGUUAGGCC